GACGAACGCUGGCGGCGUGCUUAACACAUGCAAGUCGAACGGAAAGGCCCUGCUUUUGUGGGGUGCUCGAGUGGCGAACGGGUGAGUAACACGUGAGUAACCUGCCCUUGACUUUGGGAUAACUUCAGGAAACUGGGGCUAAUACCGGAUAGGAGCUCCUGCUGCAUGGUGGGGGUUGGAAAGUUUCGGCGGUUGGGGAUGGACUCGCGGCUUAUCAGCUUGUUGGUGGGGUAGUGGCUUACCAAGGCUUUGACGGGUAGCCGGCCUGAGAGGGUGACCGGCCACAUGGGGACUGGGAUACGGCCCAGACCCCUACGGGAGGCAGCAGGGGGGAAUAUUGCACAAUGGGGGGAAGCCGGAUGCAGCAACGCCGCGGGGGGGAUGACGGCCUUCGGGUUGUAAACCGCUUUCGCCUGUGACGAAGCGGGGGUGACGGUAAUGGGUAAAGAAGCACCGGCAAACUACGU
rnacentral:rRNA from 1 species